UGCCCUGUCUUCUCCAGCUCUCAGAUC
rnacentral:piRNA from 1 species